rnacentral:rRNA from 1 species
AUACGGGGGUGACAAGCGUUGUUCGGAUUUACUGGGCGUAAAGGGCGCGUAGGCGGACUCUCAAGUCGGGUGUGAAAACUGGCGGCUCAACUGCCAGCCUGCAUCCGAAACUGUGAGUCUUGAGUACGGGAGAGGAAAGCGGAAUUCCAGGUGUAGCGGUGAAAUGCGUAGAUAUCUGGAAGAACACCGGUAGCGAAGGCGGCUUUCUGGACCGAUACUGACGCUAAAGCGCGAAGGCUUGGGUAGCAAACAGGAGUAGAAACCCCAGUAGUCC